CCUACGGGGCGCAGCAGUGGGGAAUAUUGCACAAUGGGGGAAACCCUGAUGCAGCGACGCCGCGUGAAGGAUGAAGUAUUUCGGUAUGUAAACUUCUAUCAGCAGGGAAGAAAAUGACGGUACCUGACUAAGAAGCCCCGGCUAACUACGUGCCAGCAGCCGCGGUAAUACGUAGGGGGCAAGCGUUAUCCGGAUUUACUGGGUGUAAAGGGAGCGUAGACGGUUGUAUAAGUCUGGAGUGAAAGCCCGGGGCCCAACCCCGGGACUGCUUUGGAAACUGUGUAACUUGAGUACAGGAGGGGCAG
rnacentral:rRNA from 1 species